rnacentral:rRNA from 1 species
UACGUAGGGGGCAAGCGUUGUCCGGAUUUAUUGGGCGUAAAGAGCGUGUAGGCGGCCUGGAAGGUCAGCUGUGAAAACUCGAGGCUCAACCUCGAGACGUCGGUUGAAACCACUUGGCUAGAGUCCGGAAGAGGAGUGUGGAAUUCCCGGUGUAGCGGUGAAAUGCGCAGAUAUCAGGAAGAACACCCGUGGCGAAGGCGGCUCUCUGGGACGGUACUGACGCUGAGACGCGAAAGCGUGGGGAGCGAACAGG